ACUGUAUAAAAUGAUAAUGGGUGCUGGAAUGUAAGUGGCAGUCCCCUUCUUGAGUUGGAUUCUGGAACUAAGACACUUACUGGUAUAAAACUAUAAGAUAAGUGGGAGCCAGUGUGCAUCCAUGAACUAUCUUCCUCAUGAAGAAAGUGUAGCUGAAAUGAUUCCUGUGCCAGACUGAUAUCUCCGUAGAAUCGUUAAGUAGCAAGUAACUUGCUCGUGAACAGCCACACAUUCGAUUCUAGAUCAGUCCCAUCACCAUUUACCGGAGGUUGUGAUAUGUCUCGCUUUCUUAUUUUCUAGCCAUCCAUGGCUCAUCAACGUUUCUGGAGAUAAAAAGGUCAGCGUCUCAAUCCAAGUACAAUUAGCAAUAAACCUUUUACAUGUGGUUGUGACCACAUGCAUUGGCUUUGGCCUGGCUUUCAUAAUCAUGGGGCUUGACGAUUCAGCUCCCAACCCAUGGUUCAUGCCAAGAGGUUCGGCUGGCUCAGGUUCUGUUUUUAUAACAUUUUCCUUUAUUUCAAUUUUCUUUUACCGAGUUAUAUUUGCACUCUUCUCUUAACCGCUCGCCUUCCUGUUUUUCUUUAUGCUUCUUUGUAUGCUUACUGUUUUUUGUUGUUGUUGUUGUUGUUGCAAAGGCUUUGCUUAAUUAUAGUUGGCCGAAUUACAAAUCUUCCCUCUUUCAUAUUCCGGACCAAAACCACCCCAUAUAUAUGAUCUAAAGAUUGAGAUACAUGUUGUGUUCGAGACCUAGAAAAGGAAAGGAGCCGAGAAGGGAAGGGAAAAAGGUUUUUGUUCAGAAGAUGAAGUUGUUCAGGAAAACAGAAGGCACCUAAGGGUAAGUUAAGACUUGAAUAGAGACUUGAAUAAAGGAAAGGAGUUUCACCCACCCACUUCUGCGUUUCACUAGGGGUAGACAUUGAAACAAAAGACUAGCCAAAGGACUAAAUGGUUUUGUUUGUAUUGGCUUUUAUAUGAUAAUUUGAGGUCGUUGCUGCGAAAAACUGAACCACAUACAGUAGUAUAGUACUCAUCUGCAGCCUCACGAAUGGACCAGAGUUGGUU